GAGCUAUAAGUUUAUAAUUUUAAAUGUGGAAUAAUUUUUAUUAAUAAAUUUUAUAGGGGCGAAACGUUAUUCGUUUUUGAAUAUAUCUAGUUUCUUAAGAAAAAAAUUUAAUUUUUCUUUUUUUAUAUAAAGUUAUUUUUUAUUAGUAAUUUUUUUAGAGAAAUAGAUAAAGGAGGGGAUAAGCUCUUUUUUAUAUUUAUAUAAUUUUAUUAAUUUUUUAAUUUAGUAGGAUUUUAAGCUUCUUUCUUAGAGUGAGUUAUAUCUUUGUUUUUAAAAUAAAGAUUUUUAUUUAAUUUAUUUUUUAUAUUAAGAUGAAAAUUAGAAUUUUUUCUAUUUUAUAAUAAUGGUAUAAUUAGUACAAAUUUUUGUUUAUUAAAGAAAUAAAUAAUAGGUUUCUUUAAGGAAUUCGGCAAAUUAAUUUUUCACCUGUUUACUAAAAACAUGUCCUUUUGAAUAUAAUUUAAGGUCUGGCCUGCCCAAUGAGUUUUGAAUGGCCGCGGUAAUUUGACCGUGCUAAGGUAGCAUAAUCAUUUGUUUCUUAAUUAGAAGCUAGAAUGAAGGGUUUGAUGAGAAAAUAUCUGUCUCAGAGGUAAUUUAUUGGAAUUUUAUUUUUAAGUUAAAAAGCUUAAUUAUUAGUAAAAGACGAGAAGACCCUAUAGAGUUUUAUAUUUGUAAAUUAUUUUUAUUUAGGAUUUAUAAUUAGUUGAUAAAUAUUUAGUUGGGGUGAUUGAAAAAUUUAUUUAACUUUUUUUAAAAAGAUCAAAAAUUUUUGAAUUAAUGAUCCUAUUAUUUAGAUUAUAAGAUUAAAUUACCUUAGGGAUAACAGCGUUAUUUUUUUUUAGAGUUCUAAUCGAGAAAAAAGUUUGCGACCUCGAUGUUGGAUUAAAAUUAAGGUUUGGUGUAGCAGCUAAACUUUUAGGUCUGUUCGACUUUUAAAAUUUUACAUGAUCUGAGUUUAAACCGGCGUGAGCCAGGUUGGUUUCUAUCUUUACUUUUAUUAAAAAUUUUAGUACGAAAGGACCAAAUUUUUUGUUUAUAAUAUUU
rnacentral:rRNA from 1 species